rnacentral:rRNA from 1 species
CCUACGGGAGGCAGCAGUUGGGAAUCUUGGACAAUGGGGGAAACCCUGAUCCAGCCAUGCCGCGUGAGUGAUGAAGGCCUUCGGGUUGUAAAACUCUUUCGACGGGGACGAUAAUGACGGUACCCGUAGAAGAAGCUCCGGCUAACUUCGUGCCAGCAGCCGCGGUAAUACGAAGGGGGCUAGCGUUGUUCGGAAUUACUGGGCGUAAAGCGCGCGCAGGCGGUCUUCCAAGUCAGUGGUGAAAGCCCGGAGCUCAACUCCGGAACUGCCAUUGAAACUGUAAGACUUGAGGACGAGAGAGGUGAGUGGAAUUCCCAGUGUAGAGGUGAAAUUCGUAGAUAUUGGGAAGAACACCGGUGGCGAAGGCGGCUCACUGGCUCGUAUCUGACGCUCAGGCGCGACAGCGUGGGGAUCAAACAGGAUUAGAUACCCUGGUAGUCCACGCCGUAAACGAUGAAUGCUAGCCGUUGGGUAGCUUGCUAUUCAGUGGCGCAGCUAACGCAUUAAGCAUUCCGCCUGGGGAGUACGGCCGCAAGGUUGAAACUCAAAGAGUAUGCGNGNGAGAGCGACGACGACGACGACGAGGAGAG